CCUACGGGAGGCAGCAGUGGGGAAUAUUGCACAAUGGGGGAAACCCUGAUGCAGCGACGCAGCGUGAAGGAAGAAGUAUUUCGGUAUGUAAACUUCUAUCAGCAGGGAAGAAAAUGACGGUACCUGACUAAGAAGCCACGGAUAACUACGUGCCAGCAGCCGCGGUAAUACGUAGGGGGCAAGCGUUAUCCGGAUUUACUGGGUGUAAAGGGAGCGUAGGGGGCGAUGCAAGUCAGAAGUGAAAGCCCGGGGCUCAACCCCGGGAUUGCUUUGGAAACUGUGUUGCUAGAUUGCAGGAGAGGCAGGUGGAAUUCCUAGUGUAGCGGUGAAAUGCGUAGAUAUGAGGAGGAACACUGGUGGCGAAGGCAGCUUACUGGACUGUAAAUGACGCUGAGGCUCGAAAGCGUGGGGAGCGAACAGGAUUAGAUACCCCAGUAGUC
rnacentral:rRNA from 1 species